GGCCCAAUGGUCUAGUCGUAUGAUUCACGCUUCGGGUUUAUCCCGGCUUCUUGUGGAGCCUUGAAUGUGUGAGGUCCCGGGUUCAAUUCCCGGUUGGGCCC